GAUGAACGCUGGCGGCGUGCCUAAUACAUGCAAGUCGAGCGAACAGACGAGGAGCUUGCUCCUCUGACGUUAGCGGCGGACGGGUGAGUAACACGUGGAUAACCUACCUAUAAGACUGGGAUAACUUCGGGAAACCGGAGCUAAUACCGGAUAAUAUAUUGAACCGCAUGGUUCAAUAGUGAAAGACGGUUUUGCUGUCACUUAUAGAUGGAUCCGCGCCGCAUUAGCUAGUUGGUAAGGUAACGGCUUACCAAGGCAACGAUGCGUAGCCGACCUGAGAGGGUGAUCGGCCACACUUGAACUGAGACACGGUCCAGACUCCUACGGGAGGCAGCAGUAGGGAAUCUUCCGCAAUGGGCGAAAGCCUGACGGAGCAACGCCGCGGGAGUGAUGAAGGUCUUCGGAUCGUAAAACUCUGUUAUUAGGGAAGAACAAAUGUUUAAGUAACUAUGCACGUCUUGACGGUACCUAAACAAAAAGCCACGGCUAACUACGUG
rnacentral:rRNA from 1 species